GUCACGCAGUGGGCGGGGCUAUUCAAAUUAGGACCCGGCCCCGCCUCCCCUAACCCCGCGCGGCCCCUGGGUGAUUUGCAUAGAGGCGGGGCGCUCAUUUGCAUAGAGGCCGCGCUAUUUGGGUAUGCAUGAAGGCGCGCUCCCUCGUGGCGCCGCCCCGCGCGUUUCUCAUCCUCCCGCCGGCUCCUGGGGCGCUUCCGUGGCGUUGAGCGGCGCCGGUGUGUGGUCCGCCCGCCCGCCGCCACCCGGCCCUGCCCAGCCGCCCUCCCAGCGCCGGGACGGGGCCAGCUGGCAGCCAUUAGCGACCCCGUUCCCUCUCGCUGAUCUCUAUAAUCUUAUUAGUUUAAUGGGUCACGCAGCGCGGGGCCUAUUUCCUAUGGAUCAAAGGAAAGCAAACAGGGAUAUCCCCCCGGGCUUCCUCCACCCCCCGCUCGUCCCAGCUCCGGCCCCGUGCAUCGCACUGAGCUCGGAGCCCCCUGUUUGCACCGCGCGGUGCGUCCGAGCUCGAAUUUCGGGUGUCUUUUGCAAUAGGUUCCCCAGCAAAACCCACUCUUUGCAGCGGUGCGUUUUGACUCACGAAGCAUUUAAACCACUAAGGACCCGAGCUAUAGGAGGCCUGGGCGCAUUGCUCUGCGGUCACAGGGACCAUGACAAGCCUCACUGUGAGCCUGCGGCAAUGAUAGUGCAGAUGGGCAAAGAAAGGCCUGUGCUCCAGGCAUGCUCUGGCCUUGUUUCCAAACAGCUGAUAAGCAGCUUUCAUCAUCUUGCCUAUUGCUGGUGACUUUUCCUAAAGGUAACAUACUUUAGUUUGGACAUUGCAAGACUCAUUUGUUCUCCAGCAGCCACACCAAAUGACUCUUUCAGGCCAGACUUGUGAAUGAAAUCAAGGGAAUGGUAUUGACUUAGUCCGUUUGGGAUAUCUGUCCCACUGCAUUCUUUAUCUAUUUGCCAACAUAAAGCCUUGCAUGGAAACUCGUGCACAGCGCUGGGAUGGUUGAUGGAUAAACUGUGGAAAAAUGUUUCAUUUAUUUUUUGUGACAAUAAGGGAUUGGUCCCGUUCCUGUAUUUUCCUUAUGUAUUAAGUGGAAACUUGGAGCAAGAGGAGAUGAUUUUGUUAAGGUCAGAAGCCCCUCUCAUUGUGACCAGCUGUGGGGUUACUAACAGGAAUUCAUUUGGUAUGAAGAUUCUAGGCUUCGACUCCUGGAUGACAUGAGGGAUGAAGGUUGUGGUCGAUACCAAAGCUUUGAGCUGCAGGAACAGGGGAACAGUAUGGGAUAACAGUGUCCUGACACUUUUGGUUUGGUAAACAAAGAAGCCAUGUCUUGUGGGAAGCUGAUUUCUUGUAAUGGCACUCAGAAAAUGGUCUUUCAAGCCUGAAAUUUAGAGAUGUUUCUCCCUGGGCAGGUCAGAAGCAUCAGUAGGGAUUUAGGUAUGAAUCAGAUGUUCUGGGGAGACACUGAUCAUGGAAAGCAGCUAUCUAACAACCACCACCAUAAAACCUCCAAGGCUUUAUGUCUGUUUUAGGUCCUGGGGAUAGGACUAGGACAUACCAUCUAUCUUUGUGGAUAAGUAGGAGGAACUGUGCUUUCCUUGUGGAUGAGGAGUGCUGGGGACUGCAUUCCUGUACAUAUCCACAAGGAGGGAGAUAAAGUGGUCCGGAAUGAAAAGGGUCUUUCCAGUGGGUUCAGGGAGAAGCGUUUUCUUAUGCAACCUCCUGGAGGAGGGCUGCAAUCACCCCCCAGGCACUUCACCCAGCUGCUCUAAAAAGGAGGGAUGGCAGGGUGCUGGGGUGAAGAGAUGCAGAAAAGAAAGGGUGAUUUAUAAAAUAGGUGAUUUGGAGUUUAUCUCCAGAAGCUCAACUGAGGGCAGAAGUAAUUGAUGGUUACCACAUAAGCAAUAUGUCUAUUGAAAUUCUAUGCAGGUAGAAGAGCCAGACAGAGGACAAACUGCACCAUCAUCCCAGGGUCAGUGUUUUGUUCUGCCCGAUGAUAGAAGUUUCUGUCUUCCCUCUCACAUCGUGGCAGCUUGGGAACUGAAGACUUAUCCUGAAAACACUAGCAAAAAGUCUGUUUAAGUAGUGACUCACUCUUCCCCCCUGCCUCCCUCCGACAAGUCUCUGCUUGAAGGGUUUAUCCUAUAUUUCUUUAUCCAGGCUGAUUACAAAAUGCAGUGAUCCAUUGGAGUGUGUUUUGCCUCUGAAGUGAGCAAUCUCCAGCAUGGUAGGACUGCAGCGUAUCUCUGACAUGAACUUCCAGGUCUAAUGCAGCGUUAUACUCACGGGCUCCUGGGCAGAGCAGUUUUCCAAAGAGAUAGAAUGGGGAGAAACUUUAAAAUAAAUUAAAAUAACAAUUAAAAAAAAAC
rnacentral:lncRNA from 1 species